rnacentral:tmRNA from 1 species
GGGGCUGUUUGGUUUUGACAGCGGGCAGGAAUGGUGCGUAAGCAGGCAGUGCGCUCUCUAUCAGCACUAUAAAACGAUGGUAAAAAAUUAUCUGGCAAUAACAAUUUUGCUCUUGCUGCUUGAUCGAAGAACAGUAGAUCUGCUUAAUCUCGGCACAAGGUGCUGAGACAAGACAUCACCCGAAAGCUAAUGCUCUGAAGCUCGUCGAUAUGGUGGUGCGGCUAAAUCGGAGAUAGUCUGUGGAUGUUCCGCUCUAUGGAUGAAGUUUUUAGGAACUAAGGGUUCAAUCCGGUAGCUUCGGUCAUAUUGGAUCACGAAAAUCAAAACGAAGAUAAGCCUGUAGAAAGCGUAGUAUUUCCUCGUUUGGACGAGGGUUCGACUCCCUCCAGCUCCACAA